UAGGGAAUAUUGGACAAUGGGGGCAACCCUGAUCCAGCCAUGCCGCGUGAGUGAAGAAGGCCCUCGGGUUGUAAAGCUCUUUUGUCCGGAAAGAAAAGCAUUCGGUGAAUACCCGGAUGUUCUGACGGUACCGGAAGAAUAAGCACCGGCUAACUUCGUGCCAGCAGCCGCGGUAAUACGAGGGGUGCAAGCGUUACUCGGAAUUACUGGGCGUAAAGCGUGCGUAGGUGGUUGUUUAAGUCUGAUGUGAAAGCCCUGGGCUCAACCUGGGAAUGGCAUGGGAAACUGGGCAGCUAGAGUGCGGUAGAGGGUAGUGGAAUUCCCGGUGUCGCAGUGAAAUGCGUAGAGAUCGGGAGGAACAUCUGUGGCGAAGGCGACUGCCUGGACCAGCACUGACACUGAGGCACGAAAGCGUGGGGAGCAAACA
rnacentral:rRNA from 1 species